AGAGUUUGAUCCUGGCUCAGGAUGAACGCUGGCGGCGUGCCUAAUACAUGCAAGUCGAACGGGGUGUUUGAGCAAUCGAACACUUAGUGGCGAACGGGUGAGUAACGCGUUGGUGACCUGCCCCAAAGCGGGGGAUAACAGCCUGAAAGGGUUGCUAAUACCGCAUAUGAUCAAGGGAGACUAGAAGCUCUUGAUUAAAGGAGAAAUCCACUUUGGGAGGGGCCUGCGUCCCAUCAGCUAGUUGGUAGGGUAAAAGCCUACCAAGGCGAUGACGGGUAGGGGACCUGAGAGGGUGACCCCCCACAAUGGAACUGAAACACGGUCCAUACACCUACGGGUGGCAGCAGUAGGGAAUAUUGGUCAAUGGGGGAAACCCUGACCCAGCAACGCCGCGUGAGGGAAGAAGGCUUUCGGGUUGUAAACCUCUGUCCUUGGUGACGAAACAAAUGACGGUAGCCAAGGAGGAAGCCCCGGCUAACUACGUGCCAGCAGCCGCGGUAAUACGUAGGGGGCGAGCGUUGUCCGGAAUUACUGGGCGUAAAGGGUGCGUAGGUGGCCUUUUAAGUUGGAUGUGAAAUACCCGGGCUUAACCUGGGGGGUGCAUCUAAUACUGGGAGGCUUGAGUGCAGGAGAGGAAAGCGGAAUUCCUAGUGUAGCGGUGAAAUGCGUAGAUAUUAGGAGGAACACCAGUGGCGAAGGCGGCUUUCUGGACUGUAACUGACACUGAGGCACGAAAGCGUGGGGAGCAAACAGGAUUAGAUACCCUGGUAGUCCACGCUGUAAACGAUGGAUACUAGGUGUGGGGGAGAUACAACCUCCGUGCCGCAGCUAACGCAAUAAGUAUCCCGCCUGGGGAGUACGGCCGCAAGGCUGAAACUCAAAGGAAUUGACGGGGACCCGCACAAGCAGCGGAGCAUGUGGUUUAAUUCGAAGCAACGCGAAGAACCUUACCAAGGCUUGACAUCCCUUGACCGCCAUGGAAACAUGGUUUCCCUUCGGGGCAAGGAGACAGGUGGUGCAUGGUUGUCGUCAGCUCGUGUCGUGAGAUGUUGGGUUAAGUCCCGCAACGAGCGCAACCCUUGUCAUUAGUUGCCAGCACGUAAUGGUGGGAACUCUAAUGAGACUGCCGGGGAUAACUCGGAGGAAGGUGGGGACGACGUCAAAUCAUCAUGCCCCUUAUGUCUUGGGCUACACACGUGCUACAAUGGCCGGUACAAAGGGCUGCGAAACCGUAAGGUGGAGCGAAUCCCAUAAAGCCGGUCUCAGUUCGGAUCGUGGGCUGCAACCCGCCCACGUGAAGCCGGAGUUGCUAGUAAUCGCGAAUCAGCAUGUCGCGGUGAAUGCGUUCCCGGGUCUUGUACACACCGCCCGUCACACCAUGGGAGUUGGGAGCGCCCGAAGCCAGUGGGCUAACCAGUAAUGGAGGCAGCUGUCGAAGGCGAGAUCAAUGACUGGGGUGAAGUCGUAACAAGGUAACC
rnacentral:rRNA from 1 species